rnacentral:rRNA from 1 species
UACGUAGGGUGCAAGCGUUGUCCGGAAUUAUUGGGCGUAAAGAGCUCGUAGGCGGUUUGUUGCGUCGGCCGUGAAAACCUGCAGCUUAACUGUGGGCCUGCGGCCGAUACGGGCAGACUUGAGUUCGGUAGGGGAGACUGGAAUUCCUGGUGUAGCGGUGAAAUGCGCAGAUAUCAGGAGGAACACCGGUGGCGAAGGCGGGUCUCUGGGCCGAUACUGACGCUGAGGAGCGAAAGCGUGGGGAGCAAACAGG